AAAAUGUCAUGUCGCCGUGUAGCCGUCUAAUCACCAGGGUUGACCCGGCUCUCGGCGGGACAAUGCCACUAGGUAACUGUGCCGCAUGUCCGUGUCAGAGCUGACAACGUCUGGCGGCCGUACGGUGGUUGGUGGAGUCGGCCGACCCAAGGUCGGUGGCCAGCAGAGUGGCGUCGGACUCCUCCGUCGGUCGGCGAGCUUUAUGUGGGUCGGCUACCGGACCUCUGGGUUUAGUCAGUCGGGAAUGGACCGUGGAAUGGCCGCAGUUAGCCGCUGAUGGCGUCCGUCGGCCUGUCGCCCGACUUACGAUCGGCCAGUCAGAGUCGUCCGUCGGGCCGUUGGUUAGUCGGUCGGGCUGCCAGCCGGUCGGGUCCUCCGAUAGUCGGUCGGUCGGUCGGGCCGCCAGCCGGUCGGGCCCUCCGAUAGUUAGUCGGUCGGUCGGGCCGCCAGCCGGUCGGGCCCUCCGAUAGUCGGUCGGUCGGUCGGUGGGUAUCCCCCAACAAUA
rnacentral:lncRNA from 1 species